AUUUUUGUAAGCUAUAAAAGCUAUUGAGUUCAUACCUCAAAAAAGACGAAAGUCCAAAAAUU
rnacentral:tRNA from 1 species